CAGCAUUGGCAUUGCCGGGGAGCUUGUUAGAUAUACAAAUUCUCCAGCCCAAAGUCAGCAACUACUUUGGAUUAGGACCCAGGAUGCUGUGUUUUAAAAAUUCUCCGAGGUGUUUUCAUGCACACUCAUGUUUGAGGAGCACUGGAGUUGACACACUGCAAUCAGGUACAACUCCUCAGAUGGCGGGUCACACCCUGGGAGCUCGUGGAAUCCCAGGUGAUCCAACACUAAUUUAUCCGUGGCAAGUAUUAUGGGAUGGGAAAAUAAGGGACAGACUGAUAGUCAUGGGGAGUGUGACCUGCUUAAAAAGCUUUGGAUACAGGGGAGUAUCCCUUUUACCUUCCAGGUCAUCAAUGGUCUUCUCCAACUUUGCCACAGACCUCUCGGCAAACUCUGCUCGGGUCUCAGCCUGGGAGUUGAGGUAAGACGGGAGAAUGACAAAGAUUAGGCCUCCCAGAUACUUUCACUUAAGUCAACCUCCUCUUCCAUCCCUUUUUCCAAAGUCCCUGCCACAGGGACUGUCUCUGGAGGGGAUGGGGGACUUGAGGGGACAGUGGGGACUGGAAGGACUCUCACCUCUUUUACUUUAUUAUUAUUUUUAAGUUUAUUUAUUUAUUUUGAGACAGAGAGAGAGAGAGAGCAUGUGUGCACUCGAGUGAGCAGGGGAGGGGCAGAGAGAGAGAGAGGGAGAGAGAAAAUCCCAACCAGGCUCCACGUUGUCAGCAUGGAGCCCGACACCAACUGCGAGAUCGUGGCCUGAGCCAAAAUCAAGAGUCGGAUGCUCAACCGACUGAGUCACCAGGUGCCCUAAGACUCUCACCUCUUUUAGCUUCUCCUCCAGCAGUUUGAUCUCCUCUUCAUAUUUAUCUUCUUUGGUGGAAUACUUUUAGGGACAUAUACACGCCAUUAGUAGAUCGCCUCCACAAAUCCUUCGCUCCACCGAGUCCACAGGCUGCUCCUGAUCUUGUCUCCAGGGAACACCCAGCCCCUCCCUGCCUGGGCCCAUCGCCUCCCUCCCCUGCAGGACCCCAUCCUCACUGCCCCUCUACCCCCCUCUACCUUGUCCGCUUGGGCUUCCAGGGAUUUCAAGUUGUUGGUAACAAUUUUCAGCUCUUCCUCUAGGUCCCCACAUUUACUGCAGGGGGUGUGUGGCAGGGGGAGGGUGUGAGGGCAUAGUGUGGGAGACAGUGAAGACGGCACAGUUGGGGAAGGGGUGGAGGAGAGAAGAGAAGAGCAAAGUUGUGAGAGUGACAGUGAGCAGAACUUGAAGGCCCCAGGCUCUUCCCGACCCCCAGCAGGUGAGAGAACAGCCUGAGAUCAGGGGAAAGGUGAGCUGAGAGAAGGCACCAUUGCCCAGAAAGGUCCAGAGAGGUCACUACCUCCUCCUCUGAGGCCAUCAGGGACUUGAGGGCCUGGUCCAUGGUUCGGAGCUCCUCCUCCAGCUGCCUGGCUCGGCUGGGGGCAGCAGUUAGGGGUCAGAGGACAGGACCUGUCCCUAUGGCCCCAAGCCUGGGAAACUGCCUCCCACUGUCCAGAGUGCCCCUCAGCCACGGGACCAGGCCGAGUUUCACUUGCCGCCCGGGGUACCCUUACCUCUCAGCCACCUCGGCUCUUUCUUCUGAGCGCUCCAGCUCUCCUUCCAGGAUCACCAGCUUCCUGGCCACCUGGGGGAUGAGGGAGAGAAGCAGCAGAGCCUGGGUCUUUCUGUACCCACUGAAAGCAGUAUAAGUGCUGGGACCAGGUCAGAGGAGCUGGGAUUCCUCCACAGCAAAGCCUGGCCCAGCUCUUUCCAGUUAUGGAUGCUGCUCUCCAACCACAGGACAGGCACUACUGUCCCCACUGGAUAAAUGUGAAGAGAGAAAGGAGAAACUGAGGCACCAUGCAACAAAUACUGUUGGUUUUUCCCUGAUAUUAUGGAGUCACUUUGUUCCUUUUUGAGAGAAGUUCUGCCUGACACCAAAGUCCACUAGCCCUGAUUUGUCCGCCGGUUGUUUUCAAGUGUAUGUGGUCUCCUGUGAGAAAAGCAGCUAGCUCAGCUCACAACUCAAACGAUUGUGUAAGUGCUUUCCUCCAGACACCACCGUACUUUGGUGUGCAGCUUCCUGAUUCAUCACAUGGAAUAUUGAGAAGACUUGUUACUCAGGGAUUUACAUGGAAUAAAGUUAAUAAUUUUU